AUCUAAGCUGCAUGCAUAAAGUUCAUGCAGGAAUGCCUGCUCACAGAACCGUGUAAAAUUUGGUUUGACUACGAAAGAGGUGGCACUUUGGGGAUUUUGGUGUCUCUAAUGCAACCAACUGCACAAUGAUCACUUAAAUCAUACCAACGGCCGAGUAUUUAUGCGGAUUGUUAGUUAGAAUGACAUCAAUAAGUGUUGACUUAGGGAUGUCUUCUGGAUUGAGUCUUGUGACUGCAUUUAUAAUUUAAUUAAAAUUCAGUGUAUUGCACAGUCCUCUUAUUGCUUCACAGUUUGGACAUAAGUUUGGACACAGUUUGGACACAGUCCCAGUUUAAAUCGCCCAUGAGGACCAUUUCAUUUCCCCCCAACCACGCAUCAGUUCAGCCAGAGAAUCCAGGGAUUCUACUUUUGCAGAUGGAGGUCUAUAGCAUCCUAUUACAUCUAAGUUCAUAGCUUUCGAUUAACUGCAGUUUCAAUGCUAAAAACUCUAACUGUUUUGGUUUAGAUAAAGACCUUAGUUCAGUAACCACAUAUCUGCCUAAUAUAGAUAGAUGGCUUAUACCUCCCCCUUACUUCGUUGGUCACAUCGAUAAACAUUAUAACCAUCCAAGCCUAUUGACUCAUUUAGAACAGAUUUCUUAAACCAGGUUUUGGACUGAACUACGACAUCUGGGUCAGCAGUGUGAACCUAAACUUUUAUCAUGUCCAUUUUCAGCAUCACUCUUCACAUUAAUAUGAGGAGGAGAGAUUACUAGAAACAAACUCGGUUUAUCAUUUUAUCAGUAAUUAAUUGAGUAGAGUACCCUGUGCAUUUCAGGUAAAAAUAACAACCCAAUGUUUUUAUCCCAAGACAACUUAGCGAGCUAUCUAAAUUGCCACAAAAGUUGAAUGAUUUUCGACCUGUCCCCAAAUCAAUAUAGUUGGUUCAGAGUUCAUUUUGAUAUUUCAACCUGUGUGUCCUGAUCGCGUCUGGUGUGGUUGGACAAAAUCAACAUGUGUGCAUGCGAUGGCACAUGCGAGCGGUCUGGUCAGCGGUGCAUGUACACUAGAUAGGGCCAAUUGCAGCAUGCUGCUUAGGCCGCCCAUUGUGACCUUCUUGUGGGCGUGCUGGCAGCAUGUGGCAACAUGCUCGAUUGUGCGUCAAGAAUUCAGCAUAGCAAGUUUGUAUGAAGGUCUGGUUAUUAAAUGGGUAGAUAGUUCAAUAGUAAUAUCCUCUAAAACGCUCUGGUGACAAAUAAACUUUGCUGCCCUGUUUCCAAUUGUCCACAUGUAUGGGAGAACCUAUUCAAAUAGCUUGUAACUGGAGAUUCCUGGAGGAAUUCAGGUGUGUGAAGGCUACCUGUGUUCUGCAUAACUUUAUGAGGAUGGACCAGGAGGGGAUCUGCAGCUCGCCGCCGUGUGCCAGAGGAGAAGUCUGCUGCUCUGCAGGAUGUUUCAAGGAUGGGGUCCAACAAAGCAGCAAGAGAGGCAAUCUGUGUGCGGGAGAUCUUCACCUACUUCUUCGAAGAGGGUGCUGUUCCCUGGCAACACCAGACUACACUAUGCAUAACCAAAGGCUCUUUUAAGAGCCAUUCACAUUGCAAUAAGAGUAUUCUUCCAUUUGCUUAGCUAUGUCAACUGCAGUUGAGGGUGCUGUUUAGGUAAGGGUGUAAUGUCUGUACAAAAACAAAACAGGCUAUUUUAAAUCACCCAUAUUGAAAAAAUGUAGGACAAUUAGACACCCUAUAACUCACACCUACACACUCAUGUAUCAAUCUGAUUGAUGGAUUGUGUUGUGCAGUAAGCAGGCUCAGGUGUAUAACUGUGGAUCCUUCCACCUUCAAAGAAUAGGCAAGAGGGCCAACAAUGGAGAAUAUUAAGACACUUCAUUAUUUUAUAACUACACUAUAUUAUUUGUCCUCGUGUGUCCGUUCAUGUUCUUCAGCAUAAAGUACUCUGCAGCCACUUAGUGUGGUGUGGACACCAGGUGAAGCCACACACACAGAUUCCUGUUGAACACUCUCUUUAACUACCUUGUUUUCUCAAUAACAGUACCUCUCCUUCACUUCAUCCCUCUCUCCUCUUCUCCCUAAAUCCUCUAGGUUAUAUCAGCUGUGUCGGUGAACCCCUCCUGCAUCUGAACUGGCUACAUAGAGGGCACAGCAUGAUCAGAGAUGUUUUGAUGAGAGGAUGCCAACCCCCAGUCCCAUCAUUGCCACCUCACCCGCUCUUAAGAUAACCUUCGGGCCGACUCGAGACACUUAUGUAAUUGUGAUGAACUGAGAGAAUAUUUGGGUAGCACUGAUUCAUUAAUCAUAUGCUGCCUUCUCUGCUCCUAUGU